rnacentral:rRNA from 1 species
AGCGAACGCUGGCGGCAGGCCUAACACAUGCAAGUCGAACGAAGCCUUCGGGCCUAGUGGCGGACGGGUGAGUAACACGUGGGAACGUACCUUUUGGUUCGGAACAACUCAGGGAAACUUGAGCUAAUACCGGAUGAGCCCUUAGGGGGAAAGAUUUAUCGCCGAAAGAGCGGCCCGCGUUAGAUUAGCUAGUUGGUGAGGUAAAGGCGCACCAAGGCAACGAUCUAUAGCUGGUCUGAGAGGAUGAUCAGCCACACUGGGACUGAGACACGGCCCAGACUCCUACGGGAGGCAGCAGUGGGGAAUCUUGCGCAAUGGGCGAAAGCCUGACGCAGUCAUGCCGCGUGAAUGAUGAAGGUCUUAGGAUUGUAAAAUUCUUUUACCAGGGACGAUAAUGACGGUACCUGGAGAAAAAGCCCCGGCUAACUUCGUGCCAGCCGCCGCCGUAAUAC